UACGUAGGGGGCUAGCGUUGUCCGGAAUCAUUGGGCGUAAAGAGCGCGUAGGCGGCCAGAUAAGUCCGGUGUGAAAGUCACAGGCUCAACCUGUGAAUGCCGCUGGAAACUGUCUGGCUAGAGUCCGGAAGGGGCGAGUGGAAUUCCUGGUGUAGCGGUGAAAUGCGCAGAUAUCAGGAGGAACACCAAUGGCGGAGGCAGCUCGCUGGGACGGUACUGACGCUGAGGCGCGAAAGCGUGGGGAGCAAACAGG
rnacentral:rRNA from 1 species